UGAAACCAAUUCAACAAUUGGUGACCCAGGCAGGGAUUGAACUUGUGAAAUCUUUUCUAAUCCCUUCCUGGGUCACCAACUGUUGAAAAGGUUGCA
rnacentral:pre_miRNA from 16 species